GACGAACGCUGGCGGCGUGCUUAACACAUGCAAGUCGAACGGAAAGGCCUUUUCGGAGGUACUCGAGUGGCGAACGGGUGAGUAACACGUGGGUGAUCUGCCCUGCACUCUGGGAUAAGCCAGGGAAACUGGGUCUAAUACCGGAUAGGACCGCACUUUAGUGUGUGUGGUGGAAAGUUUUUUCGGUGUAGGAUGAGCCCGCGGCCUAUCAGCUUGUUGGUGGGGUAAUGGCCUACCAAGGCGGCGACGGGUAGCCGGACUGAGAGGUUGGUCGGCCACAUUGGGACUGAGAUACGGCCCAGACUCCUACGGGAGGCAGCAGUGGGGAAUAUUGCACAAUGGGCGCAAGCCUGAUGCAGCGACGCCGCGUGGGGGAUGACGGCCUUCGGGUUGUAAACUCCUUUCGCCAGGGACGAAGCGUUUUGUGACGGUACCUGGAGAAGAAGCACCGGCUAACUACGUG
rnacentral:rRNA from 1 species